UGGAUCCGACCCGGGUCCUCUGACAUUGAAUAUGUGAAUAAAAACAUCCAUUUUUGUUUUCUUUUCUCGCGAUCAUCGGCUCCUGUGAUUUCCUGGAAAACAAGCUUUGGAGCUGCGGAUUUGUUCCGUCUGAGUGAAAACAUGAUACAUUUCGUGCUUCUAGUCAGCCGGCAAGGAAAGGUGAGGCUCACCAAAUGGUAUUCGCCCUAUACGCAGAAGGAAAGAUCUAAGGUUAUACGUGAACUGAGUGGAGUAAUCCUGAACCGAGGUCCCAAGCUCUGCAAUUUUAUCGAAUGGAGAGGAUACAAGGUGGUCUACAAAAGAUAUGCAAGCUUGUACUUCUGCAUGUGCGUUGAUCAGGACGACAAUGAGUUGGAGAUCCUCGAGAUAAUCCAUCACUACGUUGAGAUACUCGACCGCUAUUUUGGUAGUGUGUGUGAACUGGAUUUGAUUUUUAACUUUCACAAGGCGUAUUAUAUACUGGACGAGCUCUUGAUUGCCGGCGAACUUCAAGAGUCGAGCAAGAAAACAGUAGCGAGGAUUAUAUCCGCUCAGGAUCAAUUGGUGGAGGCUGCGAAAGAGGAGGCGAGUUCGAUAAGUAAUAUAAUUGCGCAGGCUACCAAAUAGUUUCUCCCUUCUUUGCUCUUGUCUGCCUUGCUCUCGAAGAACGACUCUUUAAGAGGGCAGGGAGAGGACAUAACUCGUUGUUCCAUGCCAUUGGAACUUGUCUGGUUCUCUCCUGAUGAUGUUCAAACCGACAGCAUGUGUUGGCGAUCACUCUGAACUUCAUGAUUCGAAUUUGGGUAUCCAUCAACGGAUUAGGAGGCGAGGGGCGAGCGGUGAGAACGAGAGGAGGGACGGGCGAUGAGGACGAGACAGGCGGCGAGAGGCAAGGGCCAUAGCAAAGAUGUCGAUUGUAGGUAUUGUUGGGCAAAUAAACCCAAAUCAACGCGCUUGCCGUCCAACCCUUUGCUCCUCUCUCGUCCUGUCUCGGCUUCAACGCCAUCGUUUCGCCCCCUCGUUUUACCCUUCGAUUCUUCCUCGUGGUUCAGAUGAUUUGUAGAUAUCUCAAGCAUUUGUAAUAUCCAUAAUACGGAUGUCGAGAGUCAAAUGGUGUGAGAAAGUACAAAAUAUUUCCACAGCCACGGUUCGACUCCAUUCUACACAUCAUCA